rnacentral:rRNA from 1 species
UGGGGAAUAUUGCACAAUGGGCGCAAGCCUGAUGCAGCAACGCCGCGUGAGGGACGACGGCCUUCGGGUUGUAAACCUCUUUUGGCAGGGAAGAAGCGAAAGUGACGGUACCUGCAGAAAAAGCACCGGCUAACUACGUGCCAGCAGCCGCGGUGAUACGUAGGGUGCAAGCGUUGUCCGGAAUUAUUGGGCGUAAAGAGCUCGUAGGCGGUUUGUCGCGUCUGCUGUGAAAACCCGAGGCUCAACCUCGGGCCUGCAGUGGGUACGGGCAAACUAGAGUGCGGUAGGGGACAUUGGAAUUCCUGGUGCAGCGGUGGAAUGCGCAGAUAUCAGGAGGAACACCUGAGGCGAAGGCGGGUUGCUGGGCCGACACUGACGCUGAUGCGCGAAAGCCAGGGGAGCAAACG